GGAGUCUGGGCCGUAUCUCAGUCCCAGUGUGGCCGGACACCCUCUCAGGCCGGCUACCCGUCGUCGCCUUGGUGAGCCGUUACCUCACCAACUAGCUGAUAGGGCACGAGCACCUCCAGUGGCGCAUUGCUGCUUUAACCUUUCGGCCUAUGGGGUAUUAGCGUCCAUUUCUAGACGUUGUCCCCCACCACAGGACAGCUUCUCAUGUUGUACUCACCCGUCCGCUGCUCCGCUCGUACUUUCCAUGUUGCCACUUCAAGCACGUCGUCGCUCAACUUGCAUGUGUUACGCACGCCGCCAGCGUUCAUC
rnacentral:rRNA from 1 species